GUGUUCGCUUUGGCAGCACAGACAGUAAUUGUGGGAACAAUAGAGAAGAUUAGCAUGGCCCCUGUAGAAGGAUGACACACAAAUUUGUGAAGGGUUCCAUAUUUAG